rnacentral:ribozyme from 13 species
UUUUCCCUUUCUUCUUCUUCUUCUUCUUCUUCUUUUGGGGUUACAAAAGCGAUUGUUAGAAAACAAGGAAGACCAACUCUGAUUCUUUCAAAUGAUGAAGAUGAAAGAAAAGAGAAUGGA